GACGAACGCUGGCGGCGUGCUUAACACAUGCAAGUCGAACGGAGAUGUUAGCAAUAACAUCUUAGUGGCGGACGGGUGAGUAACACGUGGGUAACCUACCUAUAAGACUGGGAUAACUUCGGGAAACCGGAGCUAAUACCGGAUAAUAUUUAGCUUCGUAUGAAGCAAUAGUGAAAGACGGUUCUGCUGUCACUUAUAGAUGGACCUGCGGUGUAUUAGCUAGUUGGGGAGGUAACGGCUCACCAAGGCAACGAUACAUAGCCGACCUGAGAGGGUGAUCGGCCACACUGGGACUGAGACACGGCCCAGACUCCUACGGGAAGCAGCAGUAGGGAAUCUUCCGCAAUGGACGAAAGUCUGACGGAGCAACGCCGCGUGAGUGAAGAAGGUUUUCGGAUCGUAAAACUCUGUUGUAAGGGAAGAACAAGUACGUUAGUAACUGAACGUACCUUGACGGUACCUUACCAGAAAGCCACGGCUAACUACGUGCCAGCCGCCGCCGUAACAC
rnacentral:rRNA from 1 species